rnacentral:rRNA from 1 species
GACGAACGCUGGCGGCGUGCUUAACACAUGCAAGUCGAACGAUGAAGCCGGAGCUUGCUCUGGUGAAUUAGUGGCGAACGGGUGAGUAACACGUGAGUAACCUGCCCUUGACUCUGGGAUAACUGCGGGAAACUGUAGCUAAUACCGGAUACGACCCUCGGAGGCAUCUCCUGGGGGUGGAAAGAAUUUCGGUCAAGGAUGGACUCGCGGCCUAUCAGCUAGCUGGUGAGGUAAAGGUUCACCAAGGCAACGACGGGUAGCCGGCCUGAGAGGGUGACCGGCCACACUAGGACUGAGACACGGCCCAGACUCCUACGGGAGGCAGCAGUGGGGAAUAUUGCACAAUGGGCGCAAGCCUGAUGCAGCAACGCCGCGUGAGGGAUGACGGCCUUCGGGUUGUAAACCUCUUUUAGCAGGGAAGAAGCGAAAGUGACGGUACCUGCAGAAAAAGCACCGGCUAACUACGUGCCAGCCGCCGCUGUAA